ACUAUAGCAUUUAGGUUCGCCUACAAUACAAAUAUGAGGGGUAGGUGUUAUGGCAUCCUAGUGUACCUUUUGUUGAUUGCAUAUGCAUCGCCUGUGAUGUGUCAUCAUCAUCUGCUUGAGGCUGCAAGUUCAACAUCAUCACCAUCAUCCAAUGGGACUGAUCAGAGUGAUUUUACAAUAACAUUUUGCGAGCGGGAUACUUGUACACACUUUAAGGUCUGCUACUGCUGCUUGACUAUGGAUGAACCCAACUGUUAUCAGAGGCAGGAUGUGUGCAGGGCGAACUGUCUCUCUUGCAAACCUAAAUGCUCGCGCCGUCGUCUUUUACCCAAAGCCACUCGAUGAUGCAACCCUAUAUGUUUGGAAUGGUAGUUGACUCUACCUUACAAAAAUAAUAACAAGAGCUAGCCUCUAUGUAAUCGAUCUCAAUUCAUCAACCUAGAGAGUUGAAAACA